CUUGAUCAGAGUUUCUGGACUUUCAGAUCAUCCACGGGAGGGUGCGCCCACUUUCACGCCCCCUCACCAAAGCU
rnacentral:sRNA from 19 species